rnacentral:tRNA from 1 species
CUCACCUUAGCUCAGUUGGCAGAGCACGAGACUGUAGAUCUUGGGGUCGCUGGUUCGAUUCCGGCAGGUGAGA